rnacentral:rRNA from 1 species
UACGUAGGGGGCUAGCGUUGUCCGGAAUCAUUGGGCGUAAAGCGCGCGUAGGCGGCCCGGUAAGUCCGCUGUGAAAGUCAAAGGCUCAACCUUUGAAUGUCAGCGGAUACUGCCGGGCUAGAGUCCGGAAGAGGCGAGUGGAAUUCCUGGUGUAGCGGUGGAACGCGCAGAUAUCAGGAGGAACACCAACGGCGAAGGCAGCUCGCUGGGACGGUACUGACGCUGAGGCGCGAAAGCGUGGGGAGCAAACAGG